GACGAACGCUGGCGGCGUGCUUAACACAUGCAAGUCGAACGGAAAGGCCCUGCUUUUGUGGGGUGCUCGAGUGGCGAACGGGUGAGUAACACGUGAGUAACCUGCCCUUGACUUUGGGAUAACUUCAGGAAACUGGGGCUAAUACCGGAUAGGAGCUCCUGCUGCAUGGUGGGGGUUGGAAAGUUUCGGCGGUUGGGGAUGGACUCGCGGCUUAUCAGCUUGUUGGUGGGGAAGUGGCUUACCAAGGCUUUGACGGGUAGCCGGCCUGAGAGGGUGACCGGCCACAUUGGGACUGGGAUACGGCCCAGACUCCUACGGGAGGCAGCAGUGGGGAUUAUUGCACAAUGGGCGGAGGCCUGAUGCAGCAACGCCGCGUGCGGGAUGACGGCCUUCGGGUUGUAAACCGCUUUCGCCUGUGACGAAGCGUGAGUGACGGUAAUGGGUAAAGAAGCACCGGCUAACUACGUG
rnacentral:rRNA from 1 species